rnacentral:lncRNA from 1 species
GAGAGGGGGAGGCUCAGGCAUGGCGGGCUGCAGGUCCCCAGCCCUGCCCUGCGGGGAGGCAGCUAAGGCCGGGGGAGAAAUCCAGCACAGCACCCAUGAGCCAGCACUGCUGGGGGACCCGGCGCACCCUCCGCAGCUGCUGGCCCAGGUGCUAAGCCCCCGGCCGCUCGGAGUGUGGGGCCUGCCAAGCCCACGCCCACGCCCACGCAGAACCCUAACUGGCCUCCAAGCGCCCCACGAAGCCCCGGUUCCCGCCCGUGCCUCUCCCUCCCCACCUCCCUGCAGGCUGAGGGAGCCGGCUCUGGCCUCAGCCAUCCCAGGAAGGGGCUUCCACAGUGCAGCGGCGGGCUGAAGGGCUCCUCAAGCGCGGCCAGAGUGGGCGCCAAGGCUGAGGAGGUGCCAAGAGCGAGUGAGGGCUGCAAGGGCUGCCAGCACGUUGUCACCUUUCACGUUUACAUGGGGGACAAUAACUCCGGGCUCCCCAGCCUUUGGACUCCAGUGCUUAACAAGAAGGCCCCUUCAGGAUUCUCAGACCUUUGGUUUUGGACUGAGAAAUACACCAUUGGCUUUCCUGGUUCUGAGGCUUUUGGUCUUGGACUGAGCCACGCCGUCAGCAUCCCAGGGUUUGCAGCUUGCAGAUCGCCUGUCAUGGGACUUCUCAGCCUCCGUAAUCACGUGAGCCAAUUCCCCUAAUAAAUCCCCUCUCAUAUAUUUAUAUUUAUCUGUAUAUAUCCUAUUGGUUCUCUCUCUCUGGAG